CGGGCGGUUCGCCGCCCACGACUCGGCGAGAAGUCCAUUGAACCUUAUCAUUUAGAGGAAGGAGAAGUCGUAACAAGGUUUCCGUAGGUGAACCUGCGGAAGGAUCAUUG
rnacentral:rRNA from 7 species